GACGAACGCUGGCGGCGUGCCUAAUACAUGCAAGUCGAGCGCUAACUGCUGGUACUUUUGCGAACGGGUUGGUCAGCGAACGGGUGAUUAACUCGUGUUGGAUCUGCCUUUGAGCGGGGGACAACAUUUGGGAACGAAGGCUAAGACCGCAUAAAAUCUUGAAACACAAUUUUCAAGUUUUAAAGAUGCAAUUUCGUCACGCAAAGGUGAUCCCGCGUGGUAUUAGCUAGGUGGUGAGGGAAAGGCUCACCAAAGCGAGGGUACAUCGCAGACCUGAGAGGGUGAUCGGCCACAUUGGGACGGAGACACGGCACAAACGACUAAGGGAGGCAGCAGUAGGGAAUCUUCGGCAAUGGAAGAAAGUCUGAACGAGCAACGCCGCGUGAGUGAAGAAGGGUUUCGGAUCGUAAAAAUAUGUUGGUAGAGAAGAAAGUUGGUGAGAGUGGAAAGCUCAUCAAGUGACGGUAACUACCCAGAAAGGGACGGCUAACUACGUG
rnacentral:rRNA from 1 species